UUGACCCAAUCACCUCUCCUUUAAUGUCCUCACCUUCAUAAUCUGACCCUCUCUCGUUUCAUCUUCCACAUGGCCUGCCAUCUCUCUCUCACCUCUCCCCUUCCAAGCGAUUCGCCGCCACGAGCAUCACCUGAACCUUCGGUUAUGCGCCUCGUCCACCCUGCUUCUGAGAUACAACACAUCAGCACAUCCAUAUCAUUCUUAUCCAUGUCCAUCGGGAGGAACAAGCCAAGAAGGAGAGGUACUGGCUAACCCUUAAUCGAAAUUCCAGGUGGUGUAAGGGAUACGGGUGAGGAAGAUGGAUAAGCGGCGGGUGCAGGGGCCGAGUAUUCUUCGCGUGGGAGUAGGAUCUGCGCGACAAGAUAGAGAUGCAUCAACAAGGAAGGCCCGACCCUGAAGAUGAUGUUAUAUUCCUUGCUACAGAUUUGUGUGGAAGAACAGAAUUGGAGUACAAGCUCUUCCUGACAUGUUUCUAUUUUAUGAUCUUUCUCCAAUUAAGGUCUGAAUACUACGGUCAGCAAAAUCCUUUUGAGAGUCACAAUUUUCGCUGGUCUGGAAAAAUGUAUUAAGUUCAUUCUGAACUUUAAUUUCAGAGAAGAAGGUAUUUGUUUCCUGCAGACAGUGAUGCCAAUGCGUGAGGUAUCAUUUAUGACCAAAUUAGUCUAUAAGAUACUCAUGAAAGGUUAACUUCACAUUUUCUAGGGUGUAGGCUAGCUGUAUAAUAGUCAAUAGAUUUUAUUUAUUUUGUCAUGGAAAUUUAUUGUGGAUAUGCAGAUGAAUUGGUAAAAGAAAACAACCAGUUUGAUUCUUGCCCCAAACUGGCCGAAGCAGCUCACUGUACAAAAGCUAGCAUCAAGAUAAUUGAUUCUAGCCUGAAGCAACAUGCAUGUACAUAGCUCCGGAUCAAUCUUUGCUUGAUCGAUCCUCACGGCUGGUAACGUACUCGUACUAGUACACACGUACACAAGAAAAAACUGGGUGUUUUGCAAGUUUGCAACUAGCUUGUAUCAAGCCUGGUUCUUUUCUUUAUUUCUACUCAUUAUUUAAUGUUUACAAAUGUUGGGCAUGCGUAUAUAUUAUGGUUACGACUAACAGAAGCUAACCUACUCGGUUACAAGUUCUAAUCCUAUUAUACUAGGUUAUUGUUGUGUGUAGAAUUGGAAUACAGCACCACGCAUGACAUUGUCAUUUCCAACAUAUUAUAUCUGCACUUUAUAGCUGUAAUUAAAGAAGAAAAAAUUGGCACAACUGUGGUUUCUUUUUUAAUUGUAUCUGUCAGUUGCUCCCGGCGGUAGGUUCUCUUGUCUGAUUUUAAUAAGAGUCAUGGAUGUUUGCAUUUAAAUUUAGUUAUGAUCAUUCAUAUUAGUAUAUAUGGAUUCUCUCUCUGUCUAUACUCAUUAAGGCCUUCUAAUUAUGUUCUCUUUUGUCGCUCAGGAUAUAUGCAAGCAGUUCCUUUUAGUAUUUACUUUGCAACAAUGUCUAUUUUGAAUGAAGUGGUCAAAUAUGACUUCGUUCAUCCUCACUUUGCAGGUACUUAGGUAAACAUGAAGCUGGUGCUUGGCAAGUAUUAUUUUUUAAUGAUGAAGCCAUGUAGAAAAGUGACUCAUCGAAUCGGCGUGACCAUGUAGAAUAAGAAUGAUGGUCCACCUUAAUAUAUCGAAGGAUGAAAAGGUAUCGUAAUUGAUGAACAAGAAAAGAAUGAUGGUGCCCCUCAAUGGAAGAUUAAUAAAUAUUAUCUUUAUAGUUCGGUUUCCCAAUUUGAUUUGUGCAAGUACAUUGGUCAUGUAAGAAGUGCUUUUGACUCAAAUUUCAUAAAUGGUAUUGUAAUUCCAGAAUUGUAUUUUCGAAUUUUGUAAAUGUACCAGAUUUCAUUAAUAAAAGAGGCUAUGAUCCUUUCAAUA